CGUAUCAUUGUGCCUCGCCUGCGCCGGAAGUCCCUAGGACAUCCCGCGGCCCGCGGGGCGAUAAGUCCGAAAGAGGGAUGAUAUGAC
rnacentral:ncRNA from 22 species